rnacentral:rRNA from 1 species
AACGAACGCUGGCGGCAUGCCUAACACAUGCAAGUCGAACGAGACCUUCGGGUCUAGUGGCGCACGUGUGCGUAACGCGUGGGAACCUGCCCUUAGGUUCGGAAUAACUCCCCGAAAGGGGUGCUAAUACCGGAUAAUGUCUUCGGACCAAAGAUUUAUCGCCUUUGGAUGGGCCCGCGUUGGAUUAGCUAGUUGGUAGGGUAAAAGCCUACCAAGGCGACGAUCCAUAGCUGGUCUGAGAGGAUGAUCAGCCACACUGGGACUGAGACACGGCCCAGACUCGUACGGGAGGCAGCAGUGGGGAAUAUUGGACAAUGGGCGAAAGCCUGAUCCAGCAAUGCCGCGUGAGUGAUGAAGGCCUUAGGGUUGUAAAGCUCUUUUACCCGGGAUGAUAAUGGCAGUACCGGGAGAAUAAGCUCCGGCGAACUCCGU